GAGGAAAAAAGGAAGAAAAUUCCCUCUCCACUUGGGUGCAUAUAAGAACUUCCCAUUUCAGCCUGUCAUAAUGGCAAUCCGGUCUGUCUCCAUCAUGCUGACACUUGCUUCGUUCGGAGUCCUUCAGGGCAACGCUGAGAUCAUCCAAGGUCCUGUUGAGAAAGCUUCAGAACGACAGAAACUGGACCUCCAGUGCCAGCACCCCUCUGUUUCAACUGAAAAUAUACUUUGGUACCAGCAGCUUCCUGGACACGGCCCUCGAUUCAUUGUAUCUGGAUACCAGGGAGAGACAAGGAGCUCGGUUCUGGAAGGGGUUUCCUUGCAUAUCCCCGCAGACCGAAAGAGCAGCACCCUCUCCUUCGCCCGCGUCACCCUGGCAGAUUCUGCACUGUACUUCUGUGCUCUGAGCAGGAGUUCUUCCAGGCUGACCUGGAGAAAUGGAAGAUUGACCCUCAGACCUUCUGCAUGA